GAUUUUGAACAGAAAAGUAUACAAUUAAAACAUUGGCUUAAAUGGAAACCCUACAACUGGAUACCUAUGAAGUAAAAUUGGUUUCUGAAAUGGCAUUUCAGCAAAUUGUUACAAAUGUGAUACCUUACUCACCAUAUGCAGUUCAAAGCCAAAUGUGUUGAAAUACUGUUUUAAAAAAUGAUGAACAACUGUCUGGAGUUGUAACAGGAUGGACGAAGGCCAGCAAAAUGAAGAUAAACUUGGACAAGAUGAAGGCACUCUGAAUAAAUAGUUCUACUUCAAGAUAUCUAGAGGAAUCCAUCACCAACACAAUCGAUUUGCUCUUCCUCUUAGGAAAUUCUAAUAAUCAAUCAGAAUCUGCUGUUCUGUAACCUGUCCUGCACUUGGAAAUAAUAAAGAAUAGGAUUUGGCGAUC